GAUGAACGCUGGCGGCGUGCUUAACACAUGCCAGUCGAACGGAAAGGCUCCUGCUUGCCGGGGUACUCGAGUGGCGAACGGGUGAGUAACACGUGGGUGAUCUGCCCUGCACUUCGGGAUAAGCCUGGGAAACUGGGUCUAAUACCGGAUAGGACGAUGGUUUGGAUGCCAUUGUGGAAAGUUUUUCGGUGUGGGAUGAGCUCGCGGCCUAUCAGCUUGUUGGUGGGGUAAUGGCCUACCAAGGCGUCGACGGGUAGCCGGCCUGAGAGGGUGUACGGCCACAUUGGGACUGAGAUACGGCCCAGACUCCUACGGGAGGCAGCAGUGGGGAAUAUUGCACAAUGGGCGCAAGCCUGAUGCAGCGACGCCGCGUGGGGGAUGACGGCCUUCGGGUGGUAAACUCCUUUCGCUAGGGACGAAGCGCAAGUGACGGGACCUGGAGAAGAAGCACCGGCUAACUACGU
rnacentral:rRNA from 1 species